AAAUAUCCUUGCAAAGGAGCAGAGCACAGCUCAGUUCCGACUCUCAAGCACAAUUUGUGCUGUAGGGCAGCAGCAUUUUGCUGCCUGGCCUUUUUCCUAAAUUGGAGCAUUUUUUGAUAAGCAUUUGGACAAAUGAGGCUUCUUGCAGGAUCAGCUGUCUGCAGCUCUGCAGCCUCCUCGUGAUGCAGAAGAUUGAGGAGUUUAUGCAAAAUCAGGUGCUUAACCAUAUGCAAGGCAGGACGAAGGUACAGCUUUUGGAGGACAGAGAAGACAUUUAUAUUCAGAAUCAGCUCCUAAAGUGUACUGUGGCCUACAUCUGUGAAUGUAAAGUAAGGAAAUGCCUGCUGGACUUAUUCAGAACAUGGGGUCAACGAAAUGCAGAAGGCCAAGAUGACCCAGCUUCAGUCCAGGUACUAAUACACAUAUAAAGAUGCUUCCACUUGGCUUUACCCUGUUGAAAAAUGUGGAAGAAACCAUAAGCACGAGCAAACCCCCAGGAUUGUCCCACACAGCAAAGAACUGGGGCAGCACAGGACAGGAAUGGGACAAGGCACCAUGAGUGUAAAAUUAGAGGCAAAACCACAGUAAAGACAACAAAUAGUGGUGCUGCACUUCUUUGAUGUCUCUUAGAGGAUGAAUAAACCCAUACUUUGCAACAAAAUCCAGGGAAAAAGACCAGAUCCUGCUCCCUUCUAACAGGGUUAAAACAAGUACUGAACCUACUGAAACCAGUACAGAACCAUCUGAUAAAACAACAUCAGCUCCCAGUUUCAGUCCCCACUCUGUGUUUAAUAGGUUUCUUCAUCCUUUCAGAAGAAUUUUAUUCUGGUGUGACUCUGACAAAACCAAUGGUCAGAGCAGAGCAUCAGAUGGUGUCCAUGAACUUUGAGUCUGCCAGAAUGCAAAAUACCAGGUCCUCAGGUUUUAUGCACUCUGUCUCAUCACCACAGUUUUGCUUCUCGCAUCUCUGCCUUCCAAGCAGCUAAUUCAUUGAAACAAACUGUGUAAGAGAAAUAGAAUCAGUAUGGACAUUAAAUCCUCACCCACAUGGUUGAUCCUGCAAGCACAAGAGCAUCUGCUUGGAGGAACAGUAGGAUAGGCACAGUUUGCUACUGACUCCACUGUCCUCUGCAGCAUUUCACACCUCUGGGGGUUUCAGGAUUCCCUCAGGUAGAGAAGCAGUGCUGAAGCAGGAAGAGGAAGCAGUAAUGAAAGCCCAUCUGAACUGGUGAGAGCUAGAAAAAUCAGAAGCUUAAAGGUAAGUGCAUUAAUAACCUCUAAGUGAACACUAUGGGUAUUUUAAAUCCAUAGUGUGAUGGAUGUGGGCAUUACUUUUAGUAAUACAAUUAUAACAGCAAGGAUUUUGAAAGGAGAUUGAUGGAUUUAGGAACCCCUUAUAUUUGUCUACUAAGUCACCCAGAGCAUUUCAACACAUUAAUGUUCAUAGCUGAUAUAUAAAGUCAUAUUUGUUAAACUUGUUUAUAUUUUAUCCUCGUGAAGUGCAUGCACAUAGAACAAAAUCAGUUUUGAAACUCUGUCAUUUCAACAAUAUCCACUAGGGUUUUUUUUUCCACAAUGUUUCAAAAAGGAAUCUAAAUAACACAGAGGUCCAUUAAAGUGUUCAGCAUCUCUGAACAAGAAAGACAAAUCCUCCUCUAUAUAUAAUUUCAGCCUCUAAAAACUUAAGAAUAAACAACAGGAAAGGACAAAAAUCCAUGCCUGCGUGCUGGAUUCAGGGGCACAUCUGUAGGAGCAUGUGCACACUGUGGGGCACCUACUUAAUUUAAUUAGGUACACUGUACUAGCAAACUAUUUCUGCCUGAGAAAUUACAGAAGCCUUUGAUCUACGAUUCCAAGCAAAAGGGAAACAAGCUUAUUGCCCACCAGGCAAUUCCUACACUGUCCUGUGCUUUCCACAAAACCCCAGUCAGGUCAGCCUUUGGAAAAGGAAUAUACCUAGGCUGCAGGAGAGAGAAUUAUGAAGAGCAUUCCUCAGAAGGCAGUUUAUCAACAGAUGGCUUGUGGGGCUUGCAGCCCAUGCAAAAGGAACAAACAUUUCCCUUGUGAUUUAUUUCCCCAUGCAUCUGCCAAAAACUGGUCUCCCCAAGUCCCUUGGGAAUCAGUUUUCUCGGGUAAAAAUUCCAGGCCUUCAAUUUUUGUCCUUACUGGACCAAUAGCCAUGUCUAGAGCUCUUUUGAUGUUCAAAAAGGCUUGAUUUCUUUAAAAACAUGAAUAUGCCCCAGUGUUAAAUAAAAAAGAUCCUGUAUGCAAAUGCCAAAAGGAUCCAGGAUGCAAAUGCCAAAAGGUGAUGCUAGGGAAGGACUUCAAAACACGGAAAUUACACUGCACUCCAGGUACAUUCACUAUUUCCAGAACAAAAGAUCAUAUCUGCACACAUAUGCAGAAAAUCCCUGAAAAUCCCCCACUUCCUAUUGCUCCCACACAAUGUUUUAGCAGCCCCAAAGCCAUGAGUCUGACAGCUCCAUCUGACACCAUCAAUACAGGCAUAAAAGAAUUUAUACCGACACUGCUGGUGAAGGGGAUUGACAAAUAGCAGCUCUUCAGCUGCUAAAACAAGAACUGAAAAGAGCUUGAUUUAAAUAGAUUUCUAUCACAGGCAAUUGAAAGAAAUCAAGGAUUCUGAACAACAAGAAUGACUCUUUUAAAGCAACAAUUAGAAGUCAGGCUAAGCUUUAGCUGUCUAAAAGUUAGUGCCUUAUCUGAAUUAUUAUCAUUUCUUUAUGCUAUAUCUAUAGAUAGGACUACAUAGCAAGGAAACUUGCUCCAAAUGACAAGUCAAACUCUCCCUAUGAUAGCCGUUUUCUUGGAAAUUAAUGGAAAAUUAACAGGAGCAUAUCUGUUCUCUUUUCCAGUUUGCUUCAUUCAUUGAAAAAAAAAAAAAAAGAAAGAAAACCUUGAUGGCAUUAAAUAAUUCCUAAAAUACAUAAGAAAAUAACAGAAUUGUAUCCUAUUAAAACAUUCCUUAAAAGACUGCUCAAAAAAACUAUAGGAUAAACUAUAGGUUUAUCAGAAGGAUAAAGUUCAGACAAAACCCACAUAAUUAUAAUUUGUCUUGUUGCUAAAAGAAUCAUCUGACAUCAGGAGUUUUAAUUUGAAAGGAAGAUUACCCUUGGCUACUAAAGGAAAAAAAUUUAUCACUAGAAGCCCACUGCUGGAGCAAUGUUUAUAAUACCUUCACCCCUAAAUGGGUUCCCUUGAGCAAUGCUACAGAGCAGCUGGCUUCCCAGAAAUAUGAUGGCACCUUCUACCAUUUAAUUGGGCCCCUGAACUUGGUGGAACUUUCAGGAGAGGUUGUCCAGGUGCAGGUUAUUUGCACUCUAGGAUCUACAUAGUUAUACACAGCAUUAGGUUUUCCUACAUAGGUUUUUAUUUCUAAUUACUCUCUUCUCCUUGAUAGAUAUUUGCAACUCUUCAUUAGAGCAAUUUUGUAACAAGCCACAUUACUGAGUGUAAAUCAUCACACAAAAUCAGAAACCUGGUUACUUCACACUAGAAUAAAUUAUUUUGCUCAACAGUUAGGCUAACACGUUAUGAUUCUAAGCACUUCAAUUUUUUUCCAUCUUUCAAAACUAUGGCAGCGAAAAAAUGUCUGAAAAUAAGUAUUUUCUUUGAUAUAGAGGGUCCUUUCACCAGACAGUGACAAAUGUCUCAAAGGAUGCAACAUACAGAUCACCUCAACACGAGGGAGGUUCAAGGAUCUUUUGCUUUGCUUGCAUUCACCAAAGAGAUUUUAAGAUAAAUGUAUACCUUAAAAAA
ensembl:lncRNA